GGCCGAGCCCGGGCGCGGGGAGAAUUACGGGAAGCAAUUGUGGGAGGCAGGAGCAAGGGAGACUUUUAUUAUGACUAGUACGGUUCUGGUCAUGAUUAAAGAAUCACCUGGAACGGCCUCAAAUCCCCAUUAGAAGCUCAGUGAGAGCAGAGUCAUAUCUGUUUGCAGUGGGAGGGCAGUGGCCGGCCCUUGCUUCCCAAGAAACAGGAAACCAGAACGGAGAAAAGUAAACAAGGCCUUGCUGUCGAAACCUGAAAUCCCAUCAAAGAGAAUUCCCGGCCGGCAGAGAGUGGUCAUCAAAAACACGGAAACUCGAACAAUGAGCAGGGCGCAAAGUCAGAAAUUUAUAGGCUUUGGCCUCUGCUGCUACAUAUCCUGGAAGAAAAAAAAAAAAAGUGUUAAGAAAACAAAUGCUGGUUGUGGAUGUGAGGGCUCCAACACUGGCCGUCUGACAAAUCGACCCUGGGCCUGACCUCCGCAAUAUGUUUCCACAGGAAACGUUCUUUCCUGGAAAAUAAGGAGCGAACGCUUUUCGUAGCGAGCUGCACACAGGACCAGCGUGCCAGACUCUGCCUGGGUCCGGCCACGGGUUUGUAAGUCAAGAAAAUAACAGCCGUGGCCCCCGCAAGCCAUUAUUUAGAAGGGGGCUAGGAGAUAAAUACAUUUGUUCGAGCUCGGUGUGCCAAUCAUUGAUUCGAAUAUAAACCAAAUGAUGUGUUACAGAUGUAACAAGGUUUGGCUGCCAAGAGCUCACGGUUAACCCACCCAACUUUUCACGGGGAAGACUGGAAUUAAGCGUGCUUUAUGCUCACUCGCUAU
rnacentral:lncRNA from 1 species